GAUGAACGCUGGCGGCGUGCCUAAUACAUGCAAGUCGAGCGAACAGACGAGGAGCUUGCUCCUCUGACGUUAGCGGCGGACGGGUGAGUAACACGUGGAUAACCUACCUAUAAGACUGGGAUAACUUCGGGAAACCGGAGCUAAUACCGGAUAAUAUAUUGAACCGCAUGGUUCAAUAGUGAAAGACGGUUUUGCUGUAACUUAUAGAUGGAUCCGCGCCGCAUUAGCUAGUUGGUAAGGUAACGGCUUACCAAGGCAACGAUGCGUAGCCGACCUGAGAGGGUGAUCGGCCACACUGGAACUGAGACACGGUACAGACUCCUACGGGAGGCAGCAGUAGGGAAUCUUCCGCAAUGGGCGAAAGCCUGACGGAGCAACGCCGCGUGAGUGAUGAAGGUCUUCGGAUCGUAAAACUCUGUUAUUAGGGAAGAACAAAUGUGUAAGUAACUAUGCACGUCUUGACGGUACCUAAUCAGAAAGCCACGGCUAACUACGUG
rnacentral:rRNA from 1 species